rnacentral:rRNA from 1 species
CAGCAGCAGCCGCGGGAAUACGGAGGGUGCAAGCGUUAAUCGGAAUUACUGGGCGUAAAGCGCACGCAGGCGGUUUGUUAAGUCAGAUGUGAAAUCCCCGAGCUUAACUUGGGAACUGCAUUUGAAACUGGCAAGCUAGAGUCUUGUAGAGGGGGGUAGAAUUCCAGGUGUAGCGGUGAAAUGCGUAGAGAUCUGGAGGAAUACCGGUGGCGAAGGCGGCCCCCUGGACAAAGACUGACGCUCAGGUGCGAAAGCAUGGGGAGCAAACAGGAUUAGAUACCCCAGUAGUCCCUGUCUCUUAUAA